ensembl:snoRNA
CUUCACUGAUGAGGUCCUGUUUGUGCCAUUGUGUCUGGGCCACUGAAGCCUUGUGAUGGAGCUGAGGAUCUGAGGAG